GGAGAGGUGGCAGAGUGGUCGAAUGCGCUCCCCUGCUAAGGGAGUAGCCGGUGUAAGCUGGCUCGCGGGUUCGAAUCCCGCCCUCUCCG
rnacentral:tRNA from 1 species